CGGGGCUGUCUGCUUCUCCUCACUUUGGCAGAAUUGGCCUCGUCUCAUGUGAAUCUUGGCCUCUUUCUCUUUCCCACACACCCAGAGAGGCCAGAACCGAACAUUCCAGAACACUCCCGCUCCCCAGAGACCCUCGCCCAUGGGAGCAGCACUGGUUCUAAGACCCGGCUGUCCCCGCCGCCAGCCUGGGGGUCUCCAUCCUGCGGAGGCGGGGCCGCAAUGCGGAGGGUGCUGGGGGCGGGGCUUCCAGUGCGGACGGACUGUCCAUUCUUCUCCAAGAAUCCUGGCGCCCAGUAGAGCAGGCCCUCGGUAUCCAGGAGAGUCCCACCAGCUAGGUUCUCAUUCGCGGUCACGGAGAAUAUCCGCUGGGGUUCCUGGAAGCAAUCCCGCGCUGACACCGAGAGAUGACCAUCAUGUGUGUUCUUUGGGAAUCUUACCCUGGCAUUCUUCUGCCUCUCAGUUGGACAUCCCCUGGCAAGUGAGGGUCCCUCCCAAGGAUGCUGAGGAUCCCCGGGGAGGUCUGGGGGCCUUUCAUCAGUGGCACCCUCCUCAGGAUUGCAGUCAAGCCUGUGCCUUUAAUUACAUACCAGCUACCA